rnacentral:lncRNA from 1 species
GGAAAAACCAAACAGAUGGAUGGAUCCAACAGCUAGCGUUGGUAAUUAAUUAAUUAAUUCAACCUUAGCUUAUGUACAAGUAAUUAAAUAGGUAGGUAUAACUGAAUGAUCAAUGGAUCAGGUCAAUAUCGGCUAGCUAAGUUAGAUCUGAUCUGCAAAUUUAAUCACCACUUACCAGGAUAGAAGAGAAACGAGUGUUGAUGGGCAAGAACAAUUUCUCAACUAGUUCCAGACCCUUGGAAUCAUCGAACGGAGCCUCCAUCUCGAAAGCUGCAAUGAUGAAGAGGGCUAACUCGGAAGUAAUGAAAUACUGACUACUCGGACUUACAGGUUGCACGUCUUCCACCAUUCUAUUUAUCUAUCUAUCUAUCUAUCUAUCUAUCUAUCUAAAUCUUCUUCUGUCUAGCUCGGUCACUAUACACAAUUACCCACAGUCGUGUGUGUAUAUAUAGGCACAUGGUGAAGCAUAUUCAUGACAUACCCAUUAAGUAGUAACCGUCCACCCAUAUGAAUUAAGAAGGUUGGAUGGUAAGUAGUUGCCAUUUAAUGAACGUAACGCCAUGGGAGUGGCCACAUUAGCACAUAGAUAGAUAGGUAGGUAGGUCCGGUAGCUCAUCAGGAAAUAACUCACUGCAGUAGUCAACAUUGGGUUACAAUAUUGCAUGCAGCUUGUACGAAUUUUCAGUUUUUUGUUUUGUUUGUAAAUUCAAUCUCCAGCAAGCUAAGAAAUUAAAGUUCCGUCCAUCCACUUUCAAAUGCUUAAUUGGAUCAAUAAUUGAAUCUAUAUAUUCAAUCUAACUAGCUAAUGGACGUAUGUCAGCGUCUCUAGCUGUACACUCUAACUAGUCUCUUCUCCAGCGUCAUUUCUGUUGCUGUGUCGAUCGCUGUGUAGACUGACUGGACUGGUAUAUAUCAGAUUGGAGGUACAUAUUUAAUAUAAAAGGAAAUAUAAAUAGAUCAUGGAUGACAAAUCUAACCAUAUAUGAUUUGUAGGACAUACAUGCAGCUUGUUAGUUAGAUCGAUCUUCUUCUGCUGCCAGCCUGAGCCCAACAUAUUUUCUGCUGCCAGACCUUAUCAAAAUACAAUUACUUUCUCAAAUUAAUUGUUAAAUCAGUAUUCGGAUCUCCAUUUAUCCGACCCGACUACCUUUCUACUGCAGUUUUUAAAGUUCGAUAUUUUUAUAACAAAAUAUAUAUAUAUUGCUUCUCAUAACAUUUGUAUUAAAAUCGACUUUCUAAUUACUAUUAUAUUCAUCUUAUUUAUAGAGUUAACUACUAACCAUACAAUUAUCUAAUUUUGGCUUCUUUCAUCAUUACAAGUGUUUGGUCCAAUACGCCCCUCCCUAGCUCAAACUGAAGGAGAAGGCCCUCCGGCUCACCGACGAGCUUCAGUUUGAUCCAUGUGCCGAUAACGUUCUUACAUAAGACGACCGAAAAAGUGUGACAUUUAAUCUGUUAUAGCCUCUUCUUGCACAAAUUUGACAUGGGAGUUGACUUCGACGGUGAGUUAACCUUGAGUAAAAACCAUAAUUUUUCAGACGGAUAUCAUGAUCCACAAAGAGUUCACACAAUUGAGCGCACCCACGUCAGAUCAAGAUCGUAUUUCGCCGUGAUCGCAGUUACAAAUUAAAGACUCAUAUUCAUCAUUUAGACCGACCAACGUCAUCAAGAUUCUUUAAUCUUUUCGCCGGUCGUCGCUAAUGCAUCUUUAAGAAUUGUAAUCUUUGCGAUGAAUUCGUCCAUAGGUACAUAAACCAUCUUUCUGAAUUGUUUGCAACUGUCACCGAAAAUGCACUUGUCGAGUCUGAUUGUCGGACGCAUAUAACCUCUUAAUCGAAAGUCAGGCACUAGCUAGCUAGAAGCCGUUUUGCAAGAAGCUAUUUACGAAAGAACUGUUAUAGUCAAGAUCCACCUUAAUAUUAGCUGAUCUUAUUGUAUUGUCAAUGGAGUACGUAGAUUGCUGGACCUUAUUACCGCCGGUGGAAAUCGAUGAUUGUAUUUCUUUGAUUUGGGAAUAGAUUGCCCAUCCUAUUGAUUGAGGAUGUAAUAACAACCUAUUUCCCUAAUAGUAAUAGUCACUGAAUCUUUACACAUAAUUAUCUAAAGUAUUUGUAAUUAUUUAGCUAAUUAAAUGUAUAUACGCCUCCGCAAGCUAAUUAUUUAGUUGAUUAAUACUAGAAUAUUGAAUGAUUAAAUCGAAGAGUGAAUUGAUCAUUCUCAAAUACUUGUUAUCUAUUUAUACAAGUUUGUUUCUAAUUAGGAUUAACUGAUUCAUAACAGAUCAGUUAUCCUUUACACCCCUUCCCUUAAGCUCUUGGAUUUAUUCCAACGAGCUUGGUUUGUAAAUUUAGAAAUUGUUUUGCCGGUAGAGGUUUUGUCAAUACGUCUGCCCAUUGGAUGGUCCCGGGAAUGUGUUCCACCGAAAUCUCCCCGCUUUCUGUCUUCUCCCUUACGAACAUGUAGGUCUAUUGUAUUAGUUAUAAAAUUAUAAUUAUAAUUAAAAUUAUAGUUAUAAUCAUAAAUAUUAAUUAUAAACUAAUCUUAACCAUUUGGUUUUCUUUUAUUUGAGUUUUAAAUCAAACAGGAUAAAAGAGUUGCAGCCCAUAAGCAUAAUGGACCGGCCCAGAAGAUUGUUAUUUAAUUAAAUCGUAUAAAUGGACCUGGUUGUAAUAAAAUAAUAUUCGGGGUUGUAAUAGAAUUAGUAGUUUACAAUUGUUAUAAAUAAUGGG